rnacentral:rRNA from 1 species
CCUACGGGAGGCAGCAGUGGGGAAUUUUGGACAAUGGGCGCAAGCCUGAUCCAGCAAUGCCGCGUGAGUGAAGAAGGCCUUCGGGUUGUAAAGCUCUUUUGUCAGGGAAGAAACGGUGGGGGCUAAUAUCUCCUGCUAAUGACGGUACCUGAAGAAUAAGCACCGGCUAACUACGUGCCAGCAGCCGCGGUAAUACGUAGGGUGCAAGCGUUAAUCGGAAUUACUGGGCGUAAAGCGUGCGCAGGCGGUUUUGUAAGUUUGUCGUGAAAUCCCCGGGCUCAACCUGGGAAUGGCGAUGAAGACUGCAAGGCUAGAAUCUGGCAGAGGGGGGUAGAAUUCCACGUGUAGCAGUGAAAUGCGUAGAGAUGUGGAGGAACACCGAUGGCGAAGGCAGCCCCCUGGGUCAAGAUUGACGCUCAUGCACGAAAGCGUGGGGAGCAAACAGGAUUAGAUACCCUGGUAGUCCACGCCCUAAACGAUGUCUACUAGUUGUCGGGUUUUAAUUAACUUGGUAACGCAGCUAACGCGUGAAGUAGACCGCCUGGGGAGUACGGUCGCAAGAUUAAAACUCAAAAGUAGAAGUUACGACGGCGAGAGAGCGACGACGACGACGACGAGGAGGAGG